CACACCUGUUAUUGAUUACCCUUUGGGUAUUCUUUUGAGCACUUAUCCGCAUCUUACUUUCCUUGUUUUCAUGGUGGAUUUGGUGGAUUUUUUUUUUACUUGGACAUUAGUUUGGAAGGCUGCUGAGCUCUAAACCCUCGUCCCCGUUUGAAUUCACAGCCCUAGCUGCGCACUGGACCCUGGAGCCUGCCUGGAAGUAGACCGAGUCCAGUGUGAUCAUCUUUGAGGAUGUAAAGAAGGUGUCAAAGUCCACCUCCCUCAUGGGACUGGUGACACCAUCGGGACCAGCUGGGGCACUGAUGAGCCAGCGGUAGCGGUUUGACUCACUGUGACACAGAUGACGGGGUAGCCAGCUGGUGGGUGGAGGUUGUCUGGCGUUCUGGCGACGUCGUCGUAAUGGAGCAGCGACACCACAUGUGGCAGGGAGGGGAAGGUGACGUCAGCCAUGCUGUUUGUCUCCUCGAUGUACACUAUCACUUUGGUCACCUGUGCCAGAAAAGAGGAUUUGGACUGAUGACAACAAAUGACACCGCACUGUUUGUGAAUCAGGACACUGAAUUAAAAUGACUAAACCCAACGCAGCGUUUACAAUCUCACA